UGGGGAAUUUUGGACAAUGGGCGAAAGCCUGAUCCAGCCAUGCCGCGUGAGUGAAGAAGGCCUUCGGGUUGUAAAGCUCUUUUAGUCGGAAAGAAAGAGUUGCAAUGAAUAAUUGUGAUUUAUGACGGUACCGACAGAAAAAGCACCGGCUAACUACGUGCCAGCAGCCGCGGUAAUACGUAGGGUGCGAGCGUUAAUCGGAAUUACUGGGCGUAAAGGGUGCGCGGGCGGUCUUGCAAGUCAGAUGUGAAAGCCCCGGGCUUAACCUGGGAAUUGCGUUUGAAACUACAAGGCUAGAGUGCAGCAGAGGGGAGUGGAAUUCCAUGUGUAGCAGUGAAAUGCGUAGAGAUGUGGAAGAACACCGAUGGCGAAGGCAGCUCCCUGGGUUGACACUGACGCUCAUGCACGAAAGCGUGGGGAGCAAACA
rnacentral:rRNA from 1 species